AUUGAACGCUGGCGGCAGGCCUAACACAUGCAAGUCGAACGGCCCGGCGGACGGGGGAGUAAGGCCUAGGCAUCUGCCUGGUAGUGGGGGAUAACGUCAGGAAACGUGCGCCAAUAACGCAUACUAUCAGUUGAGAAUAGGUCGGAUUAGCUAGUGGGUGGGGUAAAGGCCUACAAAGUGGACGAUCUUUAACUGGUCUGAGAGGAUGAUCAGUCACACGGGAACUGAGAAACGGUCCAGACUCCUACGGGAGGAAGCAGUGGGGAAUAUUGGACAAUGGGCGAAAUCCGGAUCCAGCCAUGCCGCGUGUGUGAAGAAGGUCUUCGGGUUGUAAAGCACUUUAAGUUGGGAGGCGUUACCAACAGAAGAAGCACCGGCUAACUACGUGCCAGCAGCCGCGGUAAUAC
rnacentral:rRNA from 1 species